AUGUUCAGGGCUUUGCCCCACCAGACCCAGCUCCUCCAGGCUGCUUGGCAGGGAGACCUCCACUCCCUGCAGCACCUUCUGGCCCAGACUGACCUAGUAGACGUGAACACUCAGAACCGCGACGGGCUGACCCCUCUAAUGCUGGCUGUGAGGGACGUCGACUUGUUUGAGGAGCUGGACGUCCGGUUGCCAUGGGAAUACAGACCUGUGGAGGUGGUCAGGGAACUGCUGGCUCUCUCAGCUGACCUGGGGGUGUGUGAUGUCAACGGCUGUUCUGCUCUUCACUAUGCUGGACAGAUAGAGAGCCCCCUGAAAGACGAACUCAUCCACAUGAUGGUUGAGUCCCUCAGACAGCCAGCGCCCACGCCCCUGGACCUGCAGUGCUUCCACCCUGAUGAGCUGAGAGUAAACUCCCCCAGCCCCUCUCCCUCUCUAACCGAUGAGCUGAGAGCAGCAAACUCCCCAAGCUCCUCUCUCUAUCUGACCCAAAAUGUCCUCAUUCAGACUGCUGCCAGCACAGAGGAUUUGCUGGAGGCUCCAGAGUGCGUUCCUUUAUCCGACCAUCAUAAAGCCAUCAAUCAAGGUAAGCUGUAUUUCCUUAUUGUGUCACCUACAGUAGGUAGGGUCUUAGACAGUGACUCCCUGUGUCCCUUGCCUGUGUGCCCUGUUGGCUCUACACAAGAUCACCCCCUCCUCCCAAACACACCCUUCCCCUCUCUUCACACACUGGGCCUAUCCCACAAAGAGACAGCCACAAAGGCCAGCCCUGCCAUGGCCCAAGCUGAUUGGGUCAGUGUGCUAAAUCACUCCCCUCAAGGAGACACAAUACAGACUCCCAGCUGGAAACCUUCCUGACUCCUGUCAGACACACACAACAGAACAGAGUUGCUCAGAGAGCGAAAACGAGAGCGAGCGAACGAGGUGUACAGCCCCUCUCAAUCUCAUUCUGUCAUAUAAUCUGAGUAGGUUGAGAUGAGGGUAGAUUGGACUAACUGGCUCUGAAACAGGUAACGUCUAUUGUUUCUUAUGUUGUUUUCCAACCACUUUGUUUGGAAAGUACUGUAAAUGCUAAAUGUCAUUUGUAGUUUUCUGCACAUAGGCUGUGUAUAGAAAUAGUUGUGUGUAAAAACAACAUGUAAAUAGUGUAAAAUGUUUGGUAUUAUGCAGUGAUAAUAAAUUCUAUUAUUGGUUCAGUUGGAUCUUGGUGAAAUUCUACUGAACAUAAACAGUGUCAUGGUGGAGCAUCUGGACUCCCGAGUGGCGCAGCGGUCUAAUGCACUGCAUCUCAGUGCAAGAGGCGUCACUACAGUCCCUGGUUCGAAUCCAGGCUGUAUCACAUCCGGCUGUGAUUGGGAGUCCCAUAGGGCGGAGCACAAUUGGCUCAGCGUCGUCCCCGUUUGGCCGUCAUUGUAAAUAAGAAUUUGUUCUGAACUAGUUAAAUAAAGGUUAACUGGAGAAAAAAAUAAAUCGGAUUUGUCAGUGGACUGUUGUGAUACCGAAUGCUCUCCUACGUGUAACAGAGGAACCAUUCACUGUUGGCUUGGGACUUUUGCUGUUGACACACAGUAGCAGUAAUGUCCCUGCUGUGUGUGAAAGGUACAUCAACCCCUACUGACCUCA
rnacentral:lncRNA from 1 species